UUGCAUAAUUUGAAGACUUCAACUUGCAAACUUCAAGGACUUGAACACUUCAACUUGCAUACUUGGCUAAAUUUAAAGGCUUCAAGC
rnacentral:pre_miRNA from 1 species